CAAUAUGGUAAGAGGUUGCCGCUUGUUUUUAUUCUUCCCUCCCGUUUUUUUUUUUUAAUUUUUUAUUGACCACCAGUUGUGAGCGGUUUUGCGUGCAAAACAUAAAAAUGAUUGAGAUGGCGAUGUUUGAUUCGCUUGAGAGAACGUCUCAAACAUUGUUCCCACACACCCCAAAAAGGGCGGGUCGGCCACCUCCCCCCAGCACCAAUACUCGCACACGAUUCAAUCGGCGAUAUUUACAUCGAGCGAAUCGUAACUCUGAAUUUCCCAAAAAGAAAUCGACAAAAAUUCAAAGAGAGUUUCUAUCGACUUGGACGAAGCUGCAGCAAUGGAAUGUCUGGCUCAAUUAAGCGAUGACAGGUCUCUCUUGUUCUCUUUCCUGCCUUCGUCGAUGACCGCCCUUCCCCAUUCACACUCUUCAACAGGAAAAAAGAAUAACCAACACAAACGGGAAGAAAACAAAAAUUGCCUGGUCGGAGGGACGAAACGCAGGUUGGACAUAAAACAACACGACUCCAAUGAGGCACUCAAAGGCACAUUUUUUUUUUUCCUUCUCCUUCGCUUUGUGCGUGUUGUUCUUUUUUAAAAGUUAUUUAAAAAAAUUUUCAAAAAAAAACAAAAAAAAAAACGUUCGCUCGAUAGUUUUCGUGUUGAAUGCUCUGCGGGCUCCUCUUUGCGAUGCUAUACACAUACAGGGGCGGUAUUUAUAUAUGUAUUUUCCUUUUAAUUACCCCUCCCUCUACUACACACACACACAUACACACACAAAAGAUAGGGGGGGAAAAUCUUGAUUAAUUGUACUUCGAAACGCUGUUGACCUCAAUGGCCAAAGGGGCAGUUGUUUUGUGUGUUAUUUGCUCUCUCCUUUCUCUAUCUCGUGUGUGUGUGUGUGUGUGUAUUUCACGACGUGCGCUUUCGUUCAGGAAUUCUAUCAAUAUUUGAGGGCACGUCUACGUAACGUGGAGAAAACGAACCGGACAGACGACCUUCUCGGCGCGUCCUUGCCGAAGCCCAUCAGCAAAAAGGUGCUGGUUCCAUGGUGGACGCAUGUGCUAACGCCCAGUGUCAACAACAAAAAGAAUUUGAACCGAGCCAUAGAGUCCGGUGCGCACAACCUCCAAAAUUGGAAUGCCAUUGAAGCGAGCGGCUCUCUCAUUUCUUGCUUUUAUUUAAUUUGUUUGUUUUGUUUUUUUUUAAUCUUGCGAAAUUAAAAUAAGCUGAAAUAAAAUCACAAACCAAAUAAUAAUAUUUA